CUUUGACUUAUGUCAUAAAACAAACAUUAUAAACCCUUACAUCUUGAAUCUACCCUAUUUUAACAGUAGCUGCCCUACAACAAAACCCACCUUUUGAAGAAUGAUACCCAUUUACCCGUAAAGUUAUGACACUUUAUUGCUUAUUCAAUUUUUUUUUAUUUUUUUUUCAUUGAGCACAUGCACCACCAGUUGGGAAACCUUGGCCUAAAAUAAGCACAUACCCACCCUUAUAAUAACCACUGAGCACAUGCAUUAGCAGUUGGGAAACCUUGGCCUUAAAUAGGCAAAUACCCACCCUUGUAAUAAUAGACAACUCAAACC